UCCCCAAAUGUUGCAGGAAGCUGCUAUUAAUGGAUUAAACAGCAAAACACAGAUGAAGAUAAUGCUGAAAUGGAUGAGGGGGAGGAAUAUGCUCAAGAUGUUUUGCAACUGAGUUGGUUCCACCAAGAAAUUUCUGCAUUGUACUCUGCCUGAAGAACCUCAAACUGAGCAAUCAAAGGCGGCCCUGGAACUGCAACUACAGACCGAGAAACCUUCUAUGAAGAGGAAAAAACGAAAAAAAUAAUGCAUGUGGAGUGAGGGUAUUCACCAGGCCUUGAACUGUGCCUGUUAAUGGCAACAUGAAUAAUGCCUAUUGUGAUCCAUACUGGCUUGAUUACUCCCUUUGGCUGAACACAUGAUCAGAUCUUCACCUUUAUUGUAACUGGACUCUCAGUACUUUGGCAAUGUUUUUUGUGUCUUAAUACUACGUCGUCACGCUGUGCACUAGGUAACAGGAUUUGAAGCAUCAGAUCCUGAUCCUCUCUAGGUUCCGUACCAGGGCAAUUUAUUGCUGAUUAAGGGUAUGGCUUGUUACAAUGGCUUUGAGUUGAGUUUUUCCAAAUCCAGGCAUCUGAUUCCAACACUGGAAUCAACAACAAAUCAGCUUGUGAAAUGCUAUUUGCGUAAAAAUUUCAAUGGAAAGUAACCAUCUUACUCGGAGAUGUUAAUACUCAAUAGUCUACAGCUUACAUAGAGAACUAAGAGCAGGGGAUAAUUAAUAAAGUGAACAAAAGAGGCCCAAAUAAAAUUUUGUCAAAGUAGGGUUGGAUAACCAUGAGCAGGACAGCCAAUUCAGUCAGUACUGUAAGAUACGUAGUACAGAUUUGUGUGUUUGUAGAAAAAUAAAAAAAUAAAAAAAUUACUUACUAAUUGAACUUUUAAAAUCUGAACUGUUAUAUAUUAUCUUAUUUUUUUAUUACCAAAGUCAAAGCAACUCCAGUGUUCACAC